CCCGGGCCUUGUACACACCGCCCGUCACACCAGUGGGAGUUGGUUUUACCCGAAGGUAGUGCGCUAACCGCAAGGAGGCAGCUAACCACGGUAGGGUCAGCGACUGGGGUG
rnacentral:rRNA from 1 species